GGUGGGGAAAAAGUGAAUAACCUUUGGGCUCAUAACCCAAAGGUCGUUGGUUCAAAUCCAGCCCCCGCUA
rnacentral:tRNA from 1 species